CCUACGGGUGGCUGCAGUGAGGAAUAUUGGUUAAUGGACGAGAGUCUGAACCAGCCACGUAGCGUGAAGGAUGACUGCCCUAUGGGUUGUAAACUUCUUUUAUAUGGGAAUAAAACAGGGUAUGCAUACCCUCUUGUAUGUACCAUAUGAAUAAGGAUCGGCUAACUCCGUUCCAGCAGCCGCGGUAAUACGGAGGAUCCGAGCGUUAUCCGGAUUUAUUGGGUUUAAAGGGAGCGUAGAUGGGUUGUUAAGUCAGUUGUGAAAGUUUGCGGUUCAACCGUAAAAUUGCAAUUGAUACUGGCAGUCUUGAGUACAGUUGAGGUAGGCGGAAUUCGUGGUGUAGCGGUGAAAUGCGUAGAUAUUAGGAAGAACACCAGUGGCGAAGGCGGCUUUCUGGACUGAAACUGACGCUGAGGCACGAAAGCGUGGGGAGCGAACAGGAUUAGAUACCCUUGUAGUC
rnacentral:rRNA from 1 species